rnacentral:tRNA from 1 species
GCCAACGUAGCUCAGUCGGUAGAGCAGCUGAUUCGUAAUCAGCAGGUCCGGGGUUCAAAUCCCCGCGUUGGCUCCC